rnacentral:lncRNA from 1 species
UCGGUCAUGUUCUCCAUAUUGGACCCGUAUUUGCUGUGGAGAGCCCGGCGUUCCUCCUUGGACGUUGGCAUGUAGUGCUUCUGCAGCCCUGCCUCCUCCAGGCGUCCCGCCCACUUCUUUGACCAGGCGUAGCUGCCCUGAGGACUGAGGGUGUGUAGCCGGAUAGCUGGGUCCUUGCCUUUUGCAAGCUCAAACCACUUGGCGUUGGUCUCGGGCCCACUUGUUUAAUGUUUGGGGUUACCGUAGCUCCGCAUGCGACAUGACCGCCAGGCCUCAAUCUGACGAAUGUUCUUUCCAGUACUUUCUGUGGCGUGUCGUCAGGCCCCGACAGCGCAUCUAGCUCGCUUGCGUGAUGGAUGUAGACGGUUUAGACGACAGCAAUUUGGGCACACGGGCGGGCGCUUGGCCAGGUCAAGCUCGCUGCAUCACACCAAUCCGCCCGUUCAGGCGAAGAAGCUGGAGGCGCCGCCGCCGCCGCGCCCACACCUGGCAGUGGCACUCGGCGCAGGCGGGCAUGUUGGGGUGCUGCCGGUGCGUGCCCUGAGCGCACAGCCUCUCGGGGUCGGGGCCACCUGCGAGGUGGCGUAGGGUGCGAGUGGGUGGCCAAGGAGCGCGCGCCCACGUGGGCAGGCGCAAUGACGCCAUGGGAGCCUGGUCUUGCGGUGAGUAUAUUUUUGUGUUGUGUUGGAGGUUAUGCUAGAGGGCACCAGGACAGGCGUGAAAGAGGACACAAGGGAAAAAGACAACGAGAGUGUUUUGCGUUUGCGUGUGUAAUGGCAGCAGCUACACUGCCGGCAGGUUGCAGGCACGUUCACUAGCCCAAUCACCACCACGACGCAGGCCAUCGCCCAGGCCCGACACCCACGCAUCCCCGCCCCUCACCCAUCCAGCUCUGGAUGUUGGAGCCGGCGGCAGCCACGAUGUUGCUGGCGACCAGGUGAUAAGGUGGUUGGAGCGAGCGCUCAGACACACGGCGGGGCAGGUGGAGGUGUGGCGUGUGCGUGACGGGAGAGGAGCCUGAGAGCAAGGGAGCGGAGGCGGGCACGGCCAGGGGUGAUGCGGAGGAGGAGCACGCGGUAGGGAAGCGCAGAGGCAGCGUUUGCGGGCUGGAAUGCCCGCAGCGGUACAAGACAGGGAAGCGUAUUGUCAGACGGAGCAGAUGGGCCGCAUGGUGAACUGUCAGAUUGCAUUGGUUACAAGAGGGACUUGCUGACGCGAGUCGCGAGCGACAUCUGCUCUGGACCUCAGGGACGUGCCACCUGCAACUGUCAGCUGGAUGGUGGCCGGGUCAGCGCUCUAGACGUUACUGAUACGUGCUCUGACACGUGUUUUAGGGCGGGUUGCAGGCUAGGCUUACAUGUUUGUGCGUGGGCGCCUGUGCUGUGUCGCAUACUGCGUGCGGGCGGUCCCGUCCUCAGCGGGCUGGCCCCGCACGGCGAGGAUCGGGCGACGCACCUGGCGCCAAUCUAGCGUAGAUCUGAGUGUGCUGAACGGACACUGACGGAGUGACGGACCAUGACGGGGUGUGCGACUCAUCCCUGGUGAGAUGAGCACGGAUCAGGACGGGACCGGGGCAUGGCUGUAGGGUCGUGUUGCUUCGGUCAGGGGUCAGCAUGAUGCAUCACUUGCAAUGCAGUUGCACACCUUUGCACACUGCUGGCCUUGCUGCUGGCUCUGGGGUCUGGGCCCGCCUGCCGCCAUGCAUGGGGUUCAUCGGGCAUUGCUUUUGGAACCGCUACAUCCAAUGGGACUGUAAGAGCACACGGACACGUGACGGGGCCAAAGCAGACCCAGGAGCUCGGGGCUUGAGGAUGCGGGAUGGAAUCGUGCAGAGUGGCUGGUUGUGGCGUGCCUUUGA